GCUAUAAGAUGGACCCGCGGCGCAUUAGCUAGUUGGUGAGGUAACGGCUCACCAAGGCAACGAUGCGUAGCCAACCUGAGAGGGUGAUCGGCCACAUUGGAACUGAGACACGGUCCAGACUCCUACGGGAGGCAGCAGUGGGGAAUAUUGCACAAUGGGGGAAACCCUGAUGCAGCAACGCCGCGUGAGUGAUGAAGGUCUUCGGAUUGUAAAGCUCUGUCUUUUGGGACGAUAAUGACGGUACCAAAGGAGGAAGCCACGGCUAACUACGUGCCAGCAGCCGCGGUAAUACGUAGGUGGCGAGCGUUGUCCGGAAUUACUGGGCGUAAAGGAUGCGUAGGCGGAUACUU
rnacentral:rRNA from 1 species